GCUGAGGUGGCAGAGUGGUUAAAUGCAUCAGACUGUAGAUCUGAUGUCUGAAAUGACUUCGGAGGUUCGAAUCCUCCCCUCAGCA
rnacentral:tRNA from 1 species